GAAAAGUUAUCCAUGGAAGCCGAGACAAACAUGUAAACACAUGGACAAAAGUUGUCCCGCCUACAAGGGUAACCCUGUUUCAUAAACAAGGUGUCCCUACUGCCAGGGUGACCCUACCAGCCCAGACGAGUUGAAAACUUUCCAUAUAAACACUUGCAUUUAAAUGUUAUAUAAUGAAUAUAAUUUUGCCUCUCCCAUGGUAGCUCGGAGGGUAGAGAGUGUCCCUAGUACCCAAGAUCAUAUAAACAGCACCUCAGUCACAUUAUUAUCCCCUACCCCUCAACAUCUCUAUUCAAUGCUGCAUAAUAUUUACAAUAUUUGUGAUCAUACCAAAGAUUGAAUUGGCAUGGCAUACAAAAUAUGUGAAGAUUAUGAUUUUCAUCCCAUAGUUUUUAGGUAAGAUUGUGUAGUCAAACUAUAGAAAUUGUGACCUAUGAUGGCAUUGGAAGUACUAAAAUGAUGGGCAAAUUCUAUUAAAGCAUAACUAAAAUUACA